rnacentral:rRNA from 1 species
ACUCAAAUGAAUAGACGGGGACCCGCACAACCGGUGGAGCGUGUGGUUCAAUUCGAGACAAAACGAAGAACCUCACCAAGGUUUGACAUAAUACCGUUUAUUUCCCAAGAAACUGGGAGAAAUCCGCAAGGAUGGUAUUACAGGUGCUGCAUGGCUGUCGUCAGCUCGUGCCGUGAGGUGUUCCCUUAAGUGGGGAAACGAGCGCAACCCCCAUCUAAUGUUAAAUAUUCAUUAGAGACGGUCCCUAUUUUAUAGGGAAGGAAGGAGGGGUAGAUGUCAAGUCAGCAUGGCCCUUACACCUUGGGCUACACACACACUACAAUGGCGAAAAACAAUGGGCUGCAAGCCGGCAACGGCAAGCUAAUCCCUGAAAUUUCGCCUCAGUUCAGAUUGGGGUCUGAAACCCGACCCCAUGAAGUCGGAAUCGGUAGUAAUCGCGGAUCAGCAAGCCGCGGUGAAUACGUUCUCGGGUCUUGUACACACCGCCCGU